AGAAUGAACUCCAGUGGGAAAGAUGUUGUUUUCCCUGUGUGGGAGGGGAAACUCUUAGCUCCUCACCUACACGUGUUUAUUAAACAUGAUUUCGACCACAUAUUAGCAACGAAGGGAUUGUGACUUCAGAAUCUUUUAUUCAGGUAUAUAAAAUAAACAACAUUUUUACAUGUCAUGGAAAUGCCUAGAGUACUUAACAAUCCAUUCAUAUAUAACACAAACAUACCAGUUCAAGAUAUAGCCUAUACAUUGAAAUCAAUAUGGUUUAGGGACAAUAUCUGCACAUGAGCAUGCUUAGCUACGUAUGUUUUGGUUUCGUAUGCAAGAGAUUUCGUAUUCCUGUAAAAAAAUUAAUAAAUCUUAGUGAACAAUGAACAAUCAGAUGUAGAUAUAUUUCUUUGAAAUUACACAGCAGUAACUUCAUUAAUCAGUUUUUUCCGCAUUAUUUCAAAGUAAUAUAGCGUUUCAAAAAUGUUAACAUUGUUCAAGCUUCUUUUCUACGUAUAUUCGACGUCGAUGAUUUUUUUUUCCAUCAUGAUCAAGCCUCUUUUCGACUAACUGUAGCUUUCAUUUAAACGGCGAGGGUUCGCUUGACUUCGUCGAAAGCGUGUUUGUGUUUGCUGAGUAGGGACUGAAAAUCUCAAUAUAUUAACAUUUUCUUUAGAGGUAAAAUGCCACGAAGGAUCAGCCCCCUCACAGAUGCCAUGCAUCAUAUAACUGCAAAGAGUGACAAGACAUCAAAGCUAGAGGUGUAAUACAUCAGUCCAGAGAAAGUUAAGUUUUAGCAGUGUGUAUUGACUGAAAGAUCCCAGUCUGACUGAUUCCAUUUUACUUGAAAAUUGCAAUUGUAAAGUAUUUGUCCACAUAAACAUUUACAUCUGACCGUUAACAAUAAAAAUUCUGUGCAGAGCUUUCAUAUUUGUAGAAUUUGAUGUCGAAUAUUCGGUCACUGAAUACUUUUCUCUUACUCUCGUUGUGUAUUAAGUAUUGAGGAUCUUUUGGUAGGCUGGUUAACGAUGACCACAAGCACCCAAAUUGCAGAAUGAAGAAGACUGAAGUGGAUGGAAGCCCACAUAUUUGUCUGUUUGCUUUAACAGACUUUAAAGAAGGAGAUGAAAUUACCUACAAUUACGGUGGAACGGACUGGCCUUGGUGUAGCAAGCAGAUUAGGGAGGAGAACCCUGCUGAGAGCAAUGGCCAGGAGAAACAGCAGCCAUCACAGUCUACACCUUUUCUGGAUCAUAACACUGCUAGCGGUUCAUCAGCGACUGAACAGGUAAAACAUCUACUCUGAUAAAGAGGAAUGCUUGGGAAGUAAAUGAGGUCCAUGCAGUGGAGAGACAUAUGAAGACCUUCAUCAUGUCAUGUCGUGUCCCAGGGAAGUUGGCCUGUGAAAACUGCAUUAGAUCUGAUUCUUUAUAUCUUAAAGCUUGAGACUGGCAAAGUGUCAAAUUCUAUGUCUACAAAUUCAUUGUAGCUUACAAGAGAGAUAUAAACAAAGAUUAAAUAACACUUUGAUAGUAACACUUUACAUCUAUAUUACAAAUACUAUACAUCAUAAUGCUUUAAUAAUAAGUUACGUUACAUCUCUAGCCUUUUACUUUGUAAUGAACCGCUCAGCAUUUACUUCAUAAUAAACUAAUCAGGAACAAAUCAGGCAUUCAGUGUGCUACCCAUUUACAUGUUUAGACUGCCUGGAAUCAAAAUUAGCUACCUCAACAUACAUUAUUAAGAUGUUACUGUCACUUUUUAGCUUAGUCAGUUAAGUGGAUAUAGAAUAAAGAAAAAAAUAGUGUUUGA